rnacentral:sRNA from 1 species
ACUUCAGGUCUUUGUUCUAAUAAAUAGCCAUCUUCGUCCUCAAUGGCAAGAAAGAAAGGCUGCUAGGAGUAAGUGGGAAGUGCC